rnacentral:snRNA from 1 species
AGACAUUAAGGUGAUCUGGCUAUAAUAUCUGUCACCCAUUGAUAAUUAGGAUCCAUUCCUUUAGUGAUCUGAAUGACUAGAUAGGUAUCCCCUUCCUCCUCACCAUUCCACAUCCAUCCCUCCCAAAGAUAUGCAUUUAUGCUCAGUCAAAGAAGACAAUUUUCUCCAAAUUGAGGAAUACUAGUCUCUUGUGAAAUAUUAUUUUAACUAGGCGAAGAUGUGUUACCUUUGUU